rnacentral:rRNA from 1 species
UAGCGUAUAUUAAAGUUGUUGCGGUUAAAAAGCUCGUAGUUGGAUUUCUGCUGAGAACGGCCGGUCCAUCCUUUGGGUGUGCAUCUGGUUCGGUCUUGGCAUCCUCUCGAAAACGGCUGCGCUUUAUUGCGUGGUCGGUGUUCGAGACUUUUACUUUGAGGAAAUUAGAGUGUUCACGGCAGGCCUUCGCCUUGAAUAUAUUAGCAUGGAAUAAUAAUAUAGGAUCUUGGUUCUAUUUUGUUGGUUUCUAGAGCUAGGAUAAUGAUUAAUAGGGACAAUUGGGGGCAUUCGUAUUAACGCGUC